UACGUAGGGUGCAAGCGUUGUCCGGAAUUAUUGAGCGUAAAGAGCUCGUAGGCGGUCUGUCGCGUCUGGUGUGAAAAUCCAGGGCUUAACCCUGGACCUGCAUCGGGUACGGGCAGACUAGAGUGCGGUAGGGGAGAUCGGAAUUCCUGGUGUAGCGGUGAAAUGCGCAGAUAUCAGGAGGAACACCAGUGGCGAAGGCGGAUCUCUGGGCCGUAACUGACGCUGAGGAGCGAAAGCAUGGGGAGCGAACAGG
rnacentral:rRNA from 1 species